UACGUAGGGGGCGAGCGUUGUCCGGAGUUACUGGGCGUAAAGCGCCCGUAGGCGGUUUUGUAAGUUAGCGGUGAAAGCCCGGGGCUCAACUCCGGAAUUGCCUUUAAGACUGCAUCGCUAGAAUUGUGGAGAGGUAAGUGGAAUUCCGAGUGUAGAGGUGAAAUUCGUAGAUAUUCGGAAGAACACCAGUGGCGAAGGCGACUUACUGGACACAUAUUGACGCUGAGGUGCGAAAGCGUGGGGAGCAAACAGG
rnacentral:rRNA from 1 species